GAAAUUCUUGCAUGUUUCAUCUCUGCCUAAACUAAAUAAGUUUGAGGUACACGAGCGAUCCAGCCUCAGGUCAGUCAAACUUGAGGCACCUGAUCUUGAGACAUUUUGGUUCCAUGGGAAGAAAUCUUCAAGGUGCAAAUUAAUCUUGGCUGGGUGCGGAAAUCUUAAGAAUUUGACUUUGAAUCAUUCACAUAUGGCAGAUAAGACCUUUCAUGAACUUAUCUCCCACUUCCCAUUACUUGAAAAACUGUUCCUGUUGGAAUGCCGUACAUUGCACAGAAUUACAAUCUUGAGUGACAAGCUGAAGACGCUCUCUCUGGUAAGGUGCCACAAACUAAAGGAAGCCAACA
rnacentral:misc_RNA from 1 species